AUAGCUGUGUAUGUUUUUGUAGGUCUUUCCUCAGCUUAGAGCUUAUCAAAGAGCUGGACCUAGUAAGAACCUCAGUUUGCAGCAGUGAAAUUUGGGGAAAAGAUUCACAUAGUUGUCAUUAAUUUACUGUAAAGCAAUGGAGGUGUAGUAAAAAGAGGAUAGAUUUAGGUAUCAACCAGAACCAGAUUUAAAUAUUAGCUGCAUGUGCACUUAUGGUUCGAUAUCAAUGACCCACACCCACGGUGUCAUGGGGGAAUUCUCUGUUACUGUUGGACAAAGGAAGAAAAUUCUAGCCUGGUCUACAUAUGGCUCCACAUGUUUUACUGGUUCCAGCCAGAAAUGUACUUUAGGAGCACAGUAGUCCAAAUUUGUAGAAGUCAGUCUGUCUUUUCCCAGCCACUCUGAUGCUUGCUCAAAGUUGUACAUGAGUUUAACAACACAGGCCUCCCUUCUCUAAGGCUGAACUACCUAUCACAGCUGACAACCCAACUUACCAACAGCAAAGAUGAAUACUGAACUCCUGACCUCACGCUAUACCCCGGGGGUACCAACUAGCCACCUGGUAGUAGGUUGAUUAAAAUGUCCCUUCCAUCACUAAGAGAACAAAUUUUCUUUUGCUUUCUUUUUUAAACAAAUUUCUUGCUAGAAUGGUCAUUCUGGGUAUGGAUUUGCUUUCCUUCCCAAAUGCUUGUGCCAGCUUCAUCAUCUAUGGACUUGCAGAAUGCUUUAUUCACCACCAUAGCAUCUCACCAUUUCAUUGUUUUGUUCAAGGAAAUAAUUAUUUACAGCAAAGGAGUGAGGCUUAGGGCUGUAGCUCAUAGGAUUCACUGUUUUUAUUGUGCAACCAUGUAUCCUAUUCUCCAGAGGAAGCUGGCUUUAUAGGGCAGUAGAAUGAUCCAGUUAUAUCAUCUGGGAAACAACACUUUUGGAGGAUGGAUGCUAUCCUACAGUUUGCAAUGUAUGCUAAUCAAGUGACCAAUAUAUGAUUCUGUUUAUCUCAUAGCUAGACUACACAGGGCUGGAAAUCAGAGGGUUAAAGUGGGAGUUGCUCCUUUGACUAACCCCAAAAUUGUAGAAUUUUUCUUCCCAUGUUUAUGUAUUUGGCUACUGCUGGUUUUAGAGGACUUAAUACACGAAGAAAGAAUGCUUUUCAUCAGGAGACAUACAGUGAGUCCAUUGAGUUGGAAGUUGAGACUGUCACCUGGCUAUUUUGAGCUCCCUCAUGUCAUUGAUCUAACAUACCAAGAAGAGUGUGACUGUAGUGAGGUGAUUGAUUCUAAUUUCCAAGGGAAAAUUGGGUUGCUGUUACACAAUGAGGGAAAGAGAACAGUGUCUGGAAACUAGGGGAGUCUCCAGGUGCACGACAGUGACCCAAUAAAAGUAGGACUGCUACAGCUUCAGACCCUUUAAGAAUGAAGAUUUGGGUCAUUCCACAAGGUUCUAAACCUUGAUUGACUGAGGUGAUGGCUGAAGGAAAGAGGAACAUGGAAACUUAGUGGAAUAAAGAAAGUAUAUAACUCAACUAUAGCAUCAUGAUCAUUUAUAAAGAUGAGAACUAUAGCAGAUAUUAUUUUUUCUUUGCUUUUAUGUAUAUUUUAGUAUACAUUAACUAUUUUGCCUCACUCUUUCUCUAUAUUAUUUUUAUGAGAUUGUUUGUUGGGAUUAACUUUUAAAUUUAAAAUUUAGGUUAAAAAAUAUUCGGGUAGAAUUUUGACUGAACUAAAACAGAAGUUAAAUUUGAUCUAGAGAUGGAUAUGAUGGCUGUGGGGAUACUGUCUUCCCUUUUUGGGUGAGAAUGUCUUCCUCUGUGCAAAUGUUAGUUGCGUCUUGUUAGGAGGUAGCAUGAAGUUGUAACUGUGGUUGUAUGCAAGUUUAAGGGUUGGUUGAGGGCUUUGAUUGGAUACUGAGUAAAGGGGUAUAUUGUGCAUUCAUUCUUAUUAUUUGUCUUUUGUCUCCUAGAUCUAAGCCUACUAUUCUAUAUUCUGUUCUGUGAUGCUGGGGCUGGGACUCUGCAAACUGCUUUUCCUAGAUUUCCUUGCUAGCUGGCUUCCUUCCGCUAGGCUGUGCCAAUGGGAAGCACUCAUGGAAAACUGGAAAGAGUGAAGAGAGGAAAAGGCCGAGAGGUGAAGGACCAAUAACUCUGAGAAGGGGUAUUUGUAUAUUGAAAAGAAGAAUAUCUUCACCUGUCUUUGUGCCUUGUUUCUGCAUAAGUAACGUCCAAUGAUUACGAUUAUGGAAGUCAGCAGUAUCAGAAAUGCUGCCAAAGCUGUGACUACUCUGAAGACUGAUGAACUGAAGGACUCAGCAACUGAAAUGCAGAUUUCCACCAGUCAGUGACAGUGAAGAGCAUUGUUCCCACCUGCGCUUCUUGCUCAGCAAGAUGGUAGAUGGAAAUUGAGGGAAGAGAUGAAAGACAUCAUAGGAGUUACUUUCAGUGGAAUACAUUUCUAGAUGGCCAAGAGAAAAGUUUGGAUUGGGGGAAUUGGAAACAGUGGAAAAUUGAUCCAAAUUAGAGAAUGAAUGGAGGUGUUUUAAAAUAAUCAUAUGUGCCAGGCAUGGAGAUGCACUGCUCAGAUCCCUCUUCAGGAAAGGACCCAUUGCCCAGCAGCUGCAAGUAUGAAAACACAGGGGCCAGAGAAACAUGAAAUAACACCAUGGAGAUGGAUGCAACUAACCAAAUCCAGAAUGUGGGAGAAGAAACAUGACAAGACAAUGACCAGUUCCUUCAAUAAACCAAUUGCAAAGAAAACAAAAAGGUAGGUGAUACUGAUGAAAAGAGAUUUAAGAGACAUAUCAAAAUCCUUUGCUAUUUAUUCUACUAAGUAGUGGAUUCUAAUUUCCUUCCUCCUAGCUGGCCUUAAUGACUUGUUUGACCAAUAGAAUGUAAGUGAUGUUCUGGGAAUUCCAGAUAGGUCAAAAGAGCCUGACAGGUGCCACAUGGGGCCUCUUGCAAUACUGUCCCUGGGAUUCCUGAGCCUCCAUGUAAGAAGCCUGAUUACUCAUAACCAGCAUACUGGGUAGGGCUGCAUGUGUAGGCACAGAUGCCGUCAUGUGAAUGGUGCCAUCUUGGAUCCUCCAGACCAGCCACUGUCAAUAUCACAUGGACCAGAAGGAUCACCCAGCCAGUCAUUGCUCAAAUUAUUGAUGCAUAAUACUGUGAGAUAUAACAAAGUGGUUAUUAUUUUAAAUAACUCUGUUUGGGAGUAGUUUGUUAGAAAACUAUAGAUAACCAGAAG